UAUCAACGCUGGCGGCGUGCCUAACACAUGCAAGUCGAGCGCGAAAGGGGAGUAAUCCCCAAGUAGAGCGGCGAACGGGUGAGUAACGCGUGGGUGAUCUACCUCCGAGUGGGAAUAACCCCGGGAAACUGGGGCUAAUACCGCAUGACAUCCCUGAGUCACAUCGGGGAUCAAAGCCGGGGACCGCAAGGCCUGGCGUUUGGAGAUGAGCCCGCGUCCGAUUAGCUAGUUGGCGGGGAACGGCCCACCAAGGCUUCGAUCGGUAGCCGGCCUGAGAGGGCGGACGGCCACACUGGGACUGAGACACGGCCCAGACUCCUACGGGAGGCAGCAGUGGGGAAUUUUUCGCAAUGGGGGGAAACCCUGACGAAGCAACGCCGCGUGGAGGAUGAAGGCC
rnacentral:rRNA from 1 species